CCGCUUUUCAGUGAAGAUACAAUGUGAUGAAUCCGGACUAAUCCUUAUAAGGCUUAGUUCUCAUCUGGGACGAAAAGUCUGAUGGCAGUCGUUUUCGUAAAAACUAUUGUUUACGCCAAUUCUUAGGAUGCCAAGCGGACGGCUAGGAUUCCAUGAUUUGCGGCAAAAGGCCUGGGUAACGCAAGAAAGAUUAUGAUGAUGACAAAAAUGUGAGGAGUUUCUGAAGUUUUGCAAUUUUAGAAACCGUCCGGACACAUAGAUUAUGUCUAAUCACUAUUUCGCCUCAAAGGACAUCAUCGACGACCUUAUAUUAUAUAUUUUCAGUGAAGAUACAAUGUGAUGAAUCCGGACUAAUCCUUAUAAGGCUUAAUUCUCAUCUGGGACGAAAAGUCUGAUGGCAGUCGUUUUGAUAAAAACUAUUGUUUACGCCAAUUCUUAGGAUGCCAAGCGGACGGCUAGGAUUCCAUGAUUUGCGGCAAAAGGCCUGGGUAACGCAAGAAAGAUUAUGAUGAUGACAAAAAUGUGAGGAGUUUCUGAAAUUUUGCAAUUUUAGAAACCGUCCGGACACAUAGAUUAUGUCUAAUCACUAUUUCGCCUCAAAGGACAUCAUCGACGACCUUAUAUUAUAUAUAUUUCCGGAUUAAAUUGGUUAUGUAUUUUGCUAUCCUAAUCAUUUUUUUUAUUUAUUUUUUUGCAUUUUACUAACCUAAUCAUUUUUUAUUUUUUUACCUAAUCAUUUGUGUUUAGUAAGCAAAAAACCAUUGCUUACUAAACAGAGGGCCAAAAAUUGUUCUCCUUUUGUACUUCACUAAACUUGGCUUGCUUUUUACAUGUAUUUCGUUAUAUAGAAUUAUCCUGUACGUAUAAUGCGUAACAACAUAGUUACGAUAACUAUGUUGAAUUCUAUUAUAUUAUCCGAUGCGGUCGAAGGGACUGGCGUACUGACAGUGACAAGGAAAACAGUGAAUAUAUCAUCAAUUAUUCCAAAAUGUUCCUGAAAGUCUUCAUCCUCUGCUGCAUCAUCAAUGUAAUCGCUGACGCCCAGGGUCACAUGUCAGAUGACGCCCUGGUCUUCAUUACAAGCCUGGUUUUCUCUCCGCACCUGUCUACGGAUCCUAAUGAGGCUGGAUCAAUAUAUGGACCUGACGAUACCUGCCCGAGCGAAAAACCCGUAAAACGUAGGAUUUUGAACACUGAUCGAUAUGUUUGUGCGAAAAUGUAGAGUAUUUUUAAUUUUUCUUAUAGUUUGUUGACGAAAAUACAGUUGUUCUUUAAUAUAUGAUCAACUACGUACUUAAAUUAAUCUUAACAAACUUAACCGAUAUAUUUGUGCAAAAAUGUAUCUAGCUUAUUUUUAAUUUCAAUUUUAUCUUAUAAAGUUAGUUGAAGAAAUAGUGUUUUUUUUGUUUAUUAUAGAUCAACUUAAAUUAGCCUUAAGAAACCGAUAUUAUUUAUUUUAAAGGACGAGGUAAUUUCUUAAAGGACAUUUUUGAAUAAUUGCCAUUCAAACCCAUCGCUUGAAAUAAAAACAGUGAGCAAAAUCUAAUUUUACCAGUAGCCUUGUUUGAACUGUAGAGCUGAUUUUUAAAUAUACCUACAGAACAAG